rnacentral:lncRNA from 1 species
CGCCAUCAAUUUCAUAUAUAUAUAAGGUGAAAGUUGACUGAUUUUCACUGGGUGAUGAAUUUCGCGACUAUUUCUUUAAUUUCUAGAUUUGUUUGUUGCUAAACCAACCCGGAGUUGAGAAGUGAAGCUCAUUCCCCCAAUGUCGUUGACGUAUUUCAAGACCAUGAUCUUUUCUCUCCUCCAAAUUCUCGCAAGUAGGAUUGUUUUCUCAC